CACUAAGAAGCUUACCAGGAUCAAGCGCCAGCCUUUUAAGCUGGAGAUCGGUGGCUACCAACCACCCUUAAUGA
rnacentral:tRNA from 2 species